UCGAGAAUCUUUCGCAAUGGGGGAAACCCUGACGACGCGACGCCGCGUGGAGGAUGAAGGCCUUCGGGUUGUAAACUCCUGUCAGCAGGGGAGAACAAGCUUUUGGCGAAUAACUGAGAGCUUUGACAGUACCUGCAGAGGAAGCCACGGCUAACUCUGUGCAAGAAGCCGCGGUAAUACAGAGGUGGCAAGCGUUGUUCGGAUUUAUUGGGCGUCAAGGGUCCGUAGGCGGCCUGGAAAGUUGGAUGUGAAAUCCCACAGCUUAACUGUGGAACUGCAUUCAAAACUUCUAGGCUCGAGUGUGAUAGGGGUAAAGGGAAUUCCCGGUGGAAGGGUGAAAUCUGCAGAGAUCGGGAGGAACACCAGUCGCGAAGGCGCUUUACUGGAUCACUACUGACGCUGAGGGACGAAAGCCAGGGGAGCAAACG
rnacentral:rRNA from 1 species